AUACGAAAGACUUAUAAAAACCUUUCUUGAAAACAACACCAAAAAUAAAAUUUGCCAACUCUUACUUCAAGAUAUGAGUAAUGAUAUAACGCUUGUGCAACUGCAAGGGUUGGGCCUGAUAGGAAAAAUAAUAACUGGGCCAUGGAUGAGUCUGGUUUAUAAAAAUGCAACAGGAAAGAGUAAUCU